CACGUAGGCACCAAGCGUUGUCCGGAUUUAUUGGGCGUAAAGAGCUCGUAGGCGGUUCAGUAAGUCAGGUGUGAAAUCUUUGGGCUUAACCCAAAGCGUGCACUUGAUACUGCUGUGACUUGAGUUCGGUAGUGGAGUGGGGAAUUCCUAGUGUAGCGGUGAAAUGCGCAGAUAUUAGGAGGAACACCGGUGGCGAAGGCGCCACUCUGGGCCGAAACUGACGCUGAGGAGCGAAAGCGUGGGUAGCAAACAGG
rnacentral:rRNA from 1 species